UUUAGUACAGACGAGGUUUCACCACGUUGGCCAGGCUAGUCUCGAACUCCUGACCUCAGGUGAUCUGCCCGCCUUGGCCUCCCAAAGUGCUGGGAUUACAGGCGUGAGCCACCCAGUCUGGCGUGUAACGUUUCUUUGGCCUCCUCUACUGUGGAGUAAUUUCUCAACCUUUCAUGGACUUUCAUGACUACGUUAGCUUUCUAUGCUGCAUAACAAAUUACCACAAACUUACCAACUUGAAACACACACACACACACACACACACACACGGACACACACACACAUAUUUAUUAUCUGUUUCCGGGGAUCAGGAGUCUAGGCAUGUCUUAGCUUGCUUCUCUGCUUCAGAGUUUCAUCAGGAGGCAAUCCACAGGUCAGCCAGUGCUGCGGUUUCACCAGAGGCUUGACGGGAAAGAUCUGCUUCUAAGCUCCCUUAGGUUGUUGGCAAAAUGUAUUUCUUUGAUGCUGUAAGACUGAGGCUUCAGUUUCUUGCUGGAGAUCACUCUCAGCUACUAGAGGCUGCCUGCAGUUCAUUGUCAUGUGAACCUCUCCAACAUGACCACUUAACUUUAUGGCAAUUCACAUCUUCAAGGACAGUGAGGUGGAGUCUUUCUAGCAUCUCUGCUAGCAAGAGGGAAUCUUAAAUAUGCCAUAAUGUAAUGAUGGGACUGAUAUCCCAUCAACUUUCCCAUAUCUUACUGGUUAAAAGUAAGUAAUUAAAAGUUUGUUAAAAGUGGGUAGGUUCUGCCCAACUCAAGGGAAGGGAUUAUUGGUGUUCCUAGCGGUCUGUCUUCCACUAUUUGUCACUUUUGAAGAUUAUUCCUUUGUGGAAUGUUCCUCAGUUUGUGUUUUUGUGGAAUGUUUUAAAAUUUGGGUUUGUCUGUUGUUUCCUCAUGAUUAUAAUCGAGAAUCUUUUCCGAGAAUAUCACAGAAAUAAUGUAUUAUUAUCAUCACAUCAUAUCUAGUGGCUCAUGAUUUCAAUUUGCCCUAUUAGUUGUGUUCAUUUUGAUCAUUUGAAUUAAGUAUCUGCCAGGACUUCUGUAAAGUUAUAAUUUUCCUUUUUGUAAUUAAUAAAUGUUUUUGUGAAGAGGUACUUUAAAACCAUGUAAAUUUCCCGUUCCUCAUCACAGCUUUUAUUUAUCUGUUUAUAUAUUCAGCAUGGACUCAUGGUUUCUUUUUAAAUUCAAGAUUAUAUGUAUUACCGUAAUUAUUUUAAUGUUCAAAUUAUCCCUAAUUUAUCCAGUGGAAGUCCCUUUAGGAUGGAUUAUGUGUACUUUUGACACAGUUCUAUAAUUCUUUGAGCACUUCCUUACUUCCUGGAGCAAUAAGAUUCACCAGGCUCACGUACUUUCUCCUUGCCCAAUCCUGAAAUCACUCAUUAUGCCGAGAGUCCUGACCAGCAGAGAAAGGUAUUUAGAAGCCAAGUUUUGGAGACCAGUUGUUCUCAUUGCAGUCUUACUACUCUGAAGCCCUUUUGGUGGACAGAGGGAGAAGAGAACAAAAGUUACAAAGGAUAAACAGUCGUCUUAAUAGUAUUCAGCUCCAAGAAAGAAAAGAUGCAAGGAAUACGCUGAGAUGAAGUUUGGAUUGAAUUCUACGUUUGUAAAAUGAUAAUAUGCUUUUUGCUAGAAAACAACAAAGCUCUUUAAGAAAAUUAGUAAUUGGGGGUCUUUAAGUAUUCAGAAGUGUGAGAACUGUGAUGCUUGAUGGUGAUGCAUACUGCAGAAUUCUCUGUGGGUUAUAAAGCCAAUUUCUUCAAGAGGCACUGCAGCUGAAGGCUGCCAAGGGAAAAAUAUAUUUGAGAUUUAAGGUGGAUCUUUUGUUCAAAAGUGUACAAAAAAGUAAAAAAUUUAAGAAACAGGCAAA
rnacentral:lncRNA from 1 species